CGAGAUAGCAACUGGCAAGAAAAACAACGCAUUCACGCAAGGAACUAGCUCGGUUUUAUACUCUGUAUGGGAACAUUUUAAAGCAAACACAUUAGAACGCUCGAUUGAUCCUCGGUUGAAAGAGAAGGUCACAGAGGAAGAGGCCUUGAAGGUUCUUCAAAUCGGAUUGUUGUGUGUUCAAUCAUCAGUAGAAUUAAGACCUUCGAUGUCUGAGAUAGUCUAUAUGUUAAAGAACAAAGAUUGUAAAUUUGAUUGUCCGAAACAGCCUCCGUUCUUGAGUGCCAGUGUUCUAAUGCCAGAUGAGGAGACUAGAGUCUGAUA